CUUUCCUCAGCAUUCGUAUACACGAUAUUUACAGAUCGAUAAAUCUUUCUUUUGAAUUUUUAAAUCUUAGUUUCAUGAACUCAAUAUUGUUUCACGUCAUGCGCUGAAUGGUGCAAUAUCGUGUGGUUUAUACGAGUUAUAAAACUUUUGUAUUAAAGAAACAUCUACGUCAAGUGACAAUUCUACGAGUUAAAAAAAUGUUCGAUCAGGAAACGCGAACAACUUUUCCGUCGUCCUUUUCUGUCGCCCUUUCCCGUCAUACAGUCGGAUGGGAUACACAUAAGAGAAACACUACGCUCAUGAACCUAUGUGGUCAGCUGCGGUAACAUGAAUGACGAGUGAAUUUCACAUCGAUAGUAUGGGAUUGGAGAUGAGAUAUCGAGAGAGCGGUCUGCUGCAUUUCAAAAGGGAAGGAGGAGUGACGGAAGAGAGCUGAACCUUCGAGAAAAGCA